AACACGACUGGGUUAAAAUGCAACAGUCCCCACUUUUUCAAAGCUCAAGUCUUAAUAUUUGUUUUGUCAUGAGAUCGGGCUGAAUGCAACCAAAAAGCUUCUGGUACCAGAGAUCUUGCCUUUUCCUGUCCAGGCAGAUACACUUUAUGGAGAGUACGCUUCCUGAUCAUCAGGGAGACCAUCAAACUAAUUCUGCUGGUGAUAAACACAGCCCUGAUUGUCUCACUCUGAAAGCAAAUCAUUGUUUUCAUAGCACCACGCAGAUGUCACCUCAGUUCACCUGUGAGUGGAAGCAACACCUUGUCUGGAAAUAAGACAAAAGGUAGGGCGAAGGAAGAAGUCUGAUGAUCACUAGAGUGAGAUGGUUUGUAUUGCAGAGACGGAGGAGCUGAUGAUGUGUGCAGGCUUUUCUGUCACGUAGGCACUACCCGGGGGGGGAGGGGCUCUAUCUCCUUGUCAAGGACCUAAUUACCUGCAGUGAGAGUGGAGUGGAGGGGAGGAAUACAACAGAGGUCUCUUAUUUUUGUUUCCUGAAUGCAUCGUGAGUCCCCCUUCCUUCUGAUUGGCCAGCUUUUGGAAGUCAGUCAAGGGGCCAGAUCAUGUGAGCUGUACCAGAGCUAGUCCCAUAGUCAUCCCACUUCCUGUUAAUCUGAGUGUACAGAAAGAGGUCAGCAGGGGGCGCUCUGAAAAAGUAAUCAGUGAAUUUGUGGACAAAACCAGCUUGCGGGUGUAGCGUCCUCCUUCGAAGCGUGAGCUGCAUGAUGAUGGGCGGAGGACAGGUGCAGCAUGCAGUCAGUCCUCUAAGUAUAGACCCCCCUUCUCUCUGACCCUCCCUCCUCCACACCACCAACCGAGCAUUCCUGCCGCUCUUCUCCGCGGGGACAACAAUGCAGCAGCUCAGAUGACGGACGCUGAAAAGCCUCCCGCUGUCACGCCGCCAAACGCUGAUCACCGAAUAUUGCCAGCGAUGGAGGCAGAGCAGCUGCUCCUCAGCAGAGCUGUGACUCUUUGCACUUCAACGUCUUGUCAGAUGUUAUGGUUAAUGUUCAGAAUUUGGCAUCUCAGUCCUGAGAGUCUGAAGUGGAAUGA